rnacentral:lncRNA from 1 species
CCUCCUCUAGCAUCUAUGUUUAUAGGUCUACAUACAACACAUGUACUAGGCCUAAAACAUCACUGGCUUGCUCAUCUUUUUUCUUAAAAGGUGACUUGAUCAUCUUAUCAAGUAGAUAGGAUUAACAGAUCGGUAAUGAUUCACAAUCAUUAAUUUCAAGGAUACCAUCUUUGAUUAACCUGUCUAUCUUGUUCUUGAUCACAUGACCCAAUCU